CAGUAGCCGCGGGAAUACGGAGGGAGCUAGCGUUGUUCGGAAUUACUGGGCGUAAAGCGCGCGUAGGCGGUUACUCAAGUCAGAGGUGAAAGCCCGGGGCUCAACCCCGGAACUGCCUUUGAUACUGGGUGUCUUGAGUGUGGAAGAGGUAAGUGGAAUUGCGAGUGUAGAGGUGAAAUUCGUAGAUAUUCGCAGGAACACCAGUGGCGAAGGCGGCUUACUGGUCCACAACUGACGCUGAGGUGCGAAAGCGUGGGGAGCAAACAGGAUUAGAUACCCCCGUAGUCCCUGUCUCUUAUAC
rnacentral:rRNA from 1 species